ACUCCGAGAUGAAAGGAAAAAAGGGAAGAUUUAGGCUUGAAACUCUUACGGAUAUAAAGCAAUGGAAAUUUGAUGAAUAUAUAACUAGAAGGCAAACAUGGAGAACCACUUUCAGAACAUAGGAAAUCAAAUCAAUCAACGUACGGCAAUCAACAUACGGUUUUAACGUAGCAGAUUAGAAACUCAAGAAUUUACCAAGAGGUGGUCGCUCUCAAGGAAUUAACACUGAUUUUCUGAAUAAUAACACAAUAUGCAUACUUAUGUAGCUUUUUGAUGGUAUAAUGACAUGAUAGAAUAUGAUUACAAUGUUGUAACUUUUUAAUGUUGUAAAAUUUUAUAACAUAUUAAUUAUGACAUAUAAACUAAUGAAAUCAUGUAACUUUUUGUUAAUAUAUGAAUAUUAUGUUUGGAUGUGAAAUAUAA